rnacentral:tRNA from 1 species
GCGGCAAUAGCUCAGUGGUAGAUCCCCGCUUCGCGUGCGGCGAGACCCGGGUUCGAUUCCCGGCUGCUUCC